GAUGAACGCUAGCGAUAGGCUUAACACAUGCAAGUCGAGGGGCAUCGAGGGUAGCAAUACCUGUCGGCGACCGGCGCACGGGUGAGUAACGCGUAUGUAACCUGCCCGCAACAGAGGGAUAACCCGGCGAAAGUCGGACUAAUACCUCAUAAAACAGGGGUUCCGCAUGGGGCUAUUUGUUAAAGAUUUAUUGGUUGCGGAUGGGCAUGCGUACCAUUAGGUAGUUGGUGAGGUAACGGCUCACCAAGCCAUCGAUGGUUAGGGGUUCUGAGAGGAAGGUCCCCCACACUGGUACUGAGACACGGACCAGACUCCUACGGGAGGCAGCAGUGAGGAAUAUUGGUCAAUGGGCGAGAGCCUGAACCAGCCAAGUCGCGUGAAGGAUGACUGCCCCUAUGGGUUGUAAAAUUUUUUU
rnacentral:rRNA from 1 species